CCCUUAGAUGUCCUGGGCUGCACGCGCGCUACACUGAUGUGUCCAGUAAGCACCUAACCUCUUCCGAAAGGAACGGGUAACCUUUGCAAAGCACAUCGUGAUGGGGAUAGAUUAUUGCAAUUAUUAGUCUUGAACGAGGAAUUCCUAGUAAGCACAAGUCAUCAGCUUGUGUUGAUUACGUCCCUGCCCUUUGUACACACCGCCCGUCGCACCUACCGAUUGGAUGGUCCGGUGAAGCCUCGGGAUUGUGGUUCUUGCCGCUUUGUUGUGGCGUGACCGCGAGAACUUGUCUAAACCUUAUCAUCUAGAGGAAGGUGAAGUCGUAACA
rnacentral:rRNA from 1 species